rnacentral:misc_RNA from 1 species
AGCGUCUUUGUUCCCGUGUGGUAGCUGUGCAAGUCGAUGUUGGCUUUAUCGCGAGCUGCUCGUUAACGGAAGUCGUUGAGUACGUGUAUGAUUGGCUGCUUAUAGCAGCAUCGUGUAUUUGGUGUCUUGUGACAUGCUAUUGCUGCUUCUGGGAGAAAUUUGGAGCGCUCAACGAACGAGACCGGGCACCGCGCUCGUCCACGCUGAAACAAGUUGGAACUUUAUCCAGGGUUACCACUCAUGCUGACUUAGUGGCCACAACAGAAAUUCGUUUUUGGUUCGGAACCAGUCGAGCAUAACCGUGUGUGACUCCCGGCUAACAGAAACUCAAGGUGAUGACUUCACAAUCCAGGAGACCGCCCAUGAUGAUGACUUGGGAGACAUGCCAGUGACGCCCAUAAUAUGUAUGAAAGGACCAGGUCUCUUUGAGGCAGAAAUGUUUACUGUCUGUGUGGAUGGUGUUGCGAUAUUGACUACUCAGCGGGCUGCAGCUUUCAAAGUCAUGUUCCUCUUAUACUUCGUUCUUAACAUAGAGUAUCCACCUGAAGUGGCUUUGACAUUGGAGUUUGUGCAGAGGGCAAUCGCGGGCAUGAACCCGGAAAGAAGCACAAAGGCACGACGAACGUCGAAGAAGCAGUAUUGUUUGUCGCCAAAAGUCGCUGCCUUGGCAAAUGCCCUGGAUCAAUACAAGUUCGAAGCUUGAGUUUGACCUCUAAAUAAACAGUAAAAU